CCUAGAGUGUAGGUCAAAGCAAUAGAUGUGGGAUGUGGUGUUGUCAGAAUUCAAAGAGGCUCACCAGGCAGUGUGCUUCCUUCCUUGUAGUGAGGAUGCAAGAUGCAACACUUUGUCUUUUACUGUGGAGGAGAAACUCCUGGAUGUCCUCAACCACUGGAUGAAUAAAACUUCACCACAGUGGCCACUCCUGAAUCUCUGUGUGGUUUAUCUUCCAUCUGCUGGAGAGCACGUGUUUUGCCAAGGCCUUCAGCAUACUUCCCAUCUCCUACUCAUCCAUCCUAGUCAACAUGAUGUUGUUGAUGAAAUAAGCUGAUUUACCAUUCUAUAGGAUGCCAGGUUCUUCAGAUCUCUUAAGACUAUACUAUAGAGGGCAGGUCAGUUACAAUAACCCUG
rnacentral:lncRNA from 10 species